GAUAUUUUUAUUUACAAUUGUUGCAUGAUAAAUGCAACUGUUGUACUGUCGUUUAGUUUCAGAGAUAUAAUACUAAAAAGUGCAUUUGAAACCUAUGUUUAAUUUCAGCCAUGUGGGCAGGCAGGGUCAUCAUACACAGUGGUCCCUGGAUAUCCUAGUGGUGAUUUAAACCAAGUUUGUUUAAAUUCAACAGUUGUUUCAGGGGAGAAUUUUUGUAAAAUUUAUCUAACAAGAAAUGCAAAGUAAUGAGAAAGUUGUGAAGUAGUUUUGUUGUUGUGCAACCCCCCCCCCCACACUUUGCCAAAAAAAACAAAAAGGUAAUAAAAAAUUAUCAUAUAAGGGCAAUCUAUCCUAUUAAUGAUUUCUGCAAAAUUC
rnacentral:lncRNA from 1 species